ensembl:snRNA U6 U6 spliceosomal RNA
GUGCUCACUUCAGCAGCACACAUACUGAAAAACUGGAACGAUACAGGGAGGAUUAGCAUGGCCCCUGCGCAAGGAUGACACGCAAAUUCAUGAAGCAUUCCAAAAACAC